UGAAAACUCCCAAAAAAAUGACCACGUGGUUUAUGGACAGCCCCUUAGCAUGGAAUUAGCUGUUUUGUGAGUUAAUCGGGCUGCUGCCGCCAGUAGUUCAAAUUAAGAUUAAAAUUGGUUCAAAUUAUGAUUACGAUGGUUCAAAUUAAGAUUAAUAUCAUUGUUGAUGAAAAAUCGAUUAUUUCAAUGAAAUUUGGUGCAAAUACAAACUUUUUACCAUUUAACAGAAAGCGUAUACCCGUGGCUCUCAUGUUCAUAUGAUUUUGCCGUAGUAAAUUAUUUUCAUGUGGGAGAAAAAAUCACUUGAAAUUUGCACUGCUUCAGAAAGCCGCAAUUUGGUUCAAAUUUUGAUUACCUACCCUAUUCGAAGAUUUUUUCCUUUUGUUUUCAGGUUGUUGCAAUAACGAAUUGUUAUUUUUGUGGAGAACGGAAUCGUUCUUUUAUGGUAGAAUGGGAAGCAAUCAGUUGCGUUUAUGCUUGAGUGCUAGAGGGUCUCCAGUUAGCCUAGUGGUUAAGGCUAUGGAUCGCCAAUCCGGAGACGGCGGGUUCGAUUCCCGUUCCGGUCGGCAAAAAAUUCUCGACUCCCUGGGCAUAGUGUAUCAUUGUACUUGCCUCACAAUAUACAAAUUCAUGCAAUGGCAGGCAAAGAAAGCCCUUCAAUUAAUAACUGUGGAAAUGCUCAAAGAACACUAAGUUGAAGCGAGGCAGGCCAAGUCCCAGUGGGGACGUCGUGCCAUAAAGAAGAAGAAGAAGAAGCUAGAGUGCCGGUAAAGGCGCUUUUCUGAUAAAUGCGGUAAACGUGAUAACAGUGUAAAGUAACGGCGAAGGUUCUGCUACGCGAUCGUAUAGACGGCGCUCGUGUUCCACGUGCACGGCGCCGCCUAGCACCAAUCCACACGAAACAUUAUGCACAACACGGGUGGAAAAUGCCUGUCAGGAAAAAUGAGGUAAACAGCUUGAAAUUUGUAUGGCGCUAUCCACAAAUAACGUAACGCUCAAGGGGGAAGGGGGGAGUGCGGCCAAGCGUUACGGUCCAUACAAAAAAUUUAGGACUUUCAUACAAAAAAGCGUUACGGAGGGGGGAGGGAGGGGAGGGGGAAAAAAUGCCGAUUUCAGGGUUACGUAAUAAGUGGAUGCUGCCUAUGUUGGUGCAACAAAUUCUCUAUUACUGCAAUGAAUCCGGAAGAAAAGCACAAGGAGAAUGAUUUUGUUUCUAAUUUGCAACUUUUUGCCCAAGGGUACAAAUCACUGCGAUAGGAACAAGUGCAAGCCAGCGAUUUGUCCAUACAAGAAAAAUGAUUUCACCUCAAAUGUGGUGGUGUCAUCUCUGAGAAAAACAAGCUUUGAUUUCCUCCUAUUUGCCUCGUUAUUUUGAAAAAGCAAAUAUUUAUUUCUACAGAUUUCUACUACACAGACGUAGCUGAAACUUUAGUCGCUUGUGCACCACAAGUGAGCGAAUAAAUGAUCAAAUUUCUGGUCAAUAAUAUAAAGUAAUACACUGAAGUUUUAUUUUACGUUGUACCGCGUAAAAAAACGCGUUAUUUCAAAAAACGUAAAAAAACACGUUAUUUCGAAACCCGUCGUAAAAAACGAGUUUUUCCAAAAAACACGCGCAAAAUAGUCAGGAUUACAUCUAAAGUGACUUGACUUUUUUACGACGUUUUUUUUUUGAAAUAACGCGGGUUUUUACGACGGUUUUUGAAAUAACGCGUUUUUUACGCGGUACCAUUACCGUCGUAAAAAAAACUUCAGUGUAGUUGACUUUUUCAUGCAAAUAGUGACUUUUUAGUGACUGACUCCAAAAGUGACUCACUACCAGGCCUGUUAGUCGAGACGUUAACUGGAUAGGUAUCACAGCACAGCCGAUAUAAUAGAUCCCUAAAAUAACAAAACCGGUCGCUAUGGAAUGAACAGAUAGCGCAACCGUAGCCUUGUGUGUUUGACAUAACUCCACCGCUAUCACAACCCCAUUAAACAUUUUCCCCAUGAAGUCUGUUGAUAAAUCGGCUGAUUGUUGCACCGACGCACAGGGAUCAAACGAUUAAUCACCAGAUUAAUUAGGGUGUUCCGAUGAAAGAUAGUCAAGUUAACGGAUUAGUCGGUUGAUGAUUUUGACAAACUAAAUUAACCUACAGUAACGUCUCCUGUACCGACUUUUCGAACCCUCUAAGCCAGGGGGCAGAGAAGAGAAGGUCAUCUCCCGAGUCAGAAAUUGAUAAAUAUUUCAUGCUGUUGGUCGCGACACCUAGCGGUUGAAGCCACACUUUUUACACGGGAAAUUUCAACCGUGUUGACACGAAUAAGCAAAGUAUUUCGGAGGCAUGUACUCCAACUCAAAAUCUGAUUCGCAAAAAAAAGUGUUUAACUAGAAUGUUUUUGGGUAACACAGUCAAAGUUGGUUAUCUCUUAAAACCGUAAAUAGGGUACGCGAUACAAUAGUGAUGGGAAUAUGUAUGAAAUCGUUAUGAUAAUUAAGAAAAAUUGGCAAAACACCAUUAUGAUGCUUUAUAACAGCCUGCAAUUGCAAAAACAUCUUUGGUACGUGUACCAUAUUAUUGCAAUAGUGGUCGGAACAACAAUUGAUAUGUUCAAUGAAACAAAAUUUCGAAGAAUAAGAUAACUUAUCAUUGAUAUGACGUCAUCUGUUCAUUAAUUUUGAUUAUAUCUGAAAUAAUCAAUACACUUUGACCCAUGCAGUUGUUUUGACGUUUAUACACGAUGGAAACGAAAUGGGCAAAAACAAAAUAGAUCGAGUCGAUUUUUCACGCCUAAAAUUUAUUACUUUUCGUGUGUUCCGUUUGUUCUGAGAUGCCCUUCUCUUCUCUGCAGGGGGGCAGCGAAAGCCAAAAUCCCCGUAGCUCACAACAAAAACACGUCCAAAAUUGUUUGUGCUGUAAAUCGAUGCAUUACACAAUUUCUUACUGAUUUAUUUGCUAUCUUCGCGUUGUCGUGUAAUUUCGAACGAUUGCACGCUAAAAUUUUGAUAACCUUUUGCUAGUUUUACACGUUUUACUCAAGUAAUAACUUAUGGUAAUGACUAAUUCGCAAAUGUCGUUCACAUCCCAGAUCUGUCAGAGUGCCCAAAAGUGUCAAUUUCCCAAACAUGUCAAAUUCAUGUGGACUACGGCUCAUCUAUUCGUGGUUGACGUCCGCGCUGCCCCGCUGCUCUAAGCAGAAUACCCUCUUCGAAUGAGUGUAAUCAGUUUCGUACCUUUUAUUGCUGACUGCACCCCAAAUUGGACUGACACAAUAGUGUGCACACACCUUCAAAGUGUGAUUGCAGCGCAGGGACACGUCGGAUCGAGUUGAGGUCUUCGGUGCACUUAUUCCUUGUAAAUGGAGGAAUAAGUGCACCGAAGACGUCGAGACGAUCCGAGGCAAAUGUGCACUUUUAUCACACUUUUUA